AUGGCUCAGGUGACAGCGAAAGGCCCAGGUUCAGAAAAACACAAUCAGUUCUGCCUAUUGCCUGACACGGUAGGUCAGGGAGCAUCAAAGCACGCCGGGUUCCGGCCUCUUUUAUCUACUCCUUCCUUAAAUUUAGAUCUGUGGCCGCAAAAGAGCUGUGCUGAAAGUUACAUGAUCCAGUUAACUGCCAUUAAUUCGUGGAAUGUAAGUCUCUUCCCUCUCUGGGCUCACGUUUCUGCAUCUGUAAAAAGGAAGGUGGAGUCCCUGAGGGGUUAUUGCAGUAUCAGGAUUUUCAGAACCUUGCCGGAGGCCCCAGCAGCCAGGAGCUGCCUGCAACGGCAGGCGGAGGGCAGGUGGUCGGGACAGAGCAGCCAAUCAAGUCCACGGUGGUCCUUGAGGUCAAGGGUCGCUGUCCAGAAUUCCCCCAGGCGCCAAAGUGCGCCUGCGCAGGAGCUCGCGACUUUUCCCGCCAACCGGCGCAAGCAACGCGAUGAAGGGGAUGAAGGGCGGGGCCGGGAGGGUGCGAAGUGCAGUGGGCGGGGCCUGGAGGGUGCGAAGUGCAGUGGGCGGGGCCGGGAGGGCGAGAAACCUGGUUUGGCGUCGAGAAGGUGGUUGAGGAGAAGCGGAGAAGAAAUGAGAUGGCCCGGAUUCCCACCCUGGCCUCACCGACCUUGGGCUGACCGGCCUGUCCGGCUUCAGGUGCUGGGGCGCGGCUUGGGGACACGGGUGCGGGUGGGCAAGCGGUGGAGGCCCCUCGCUGUGGAAACCCCAGGCGGGCCCGGAUCCCACCGGCCCCACCUCGCGAGUGAAGGUCGAGGGCAGGAAGCAGCUGCCCCGAGUCCAGGCGCGUUCGCGGGAAGCUGGUGCCCGAGGCCCACUCCUGUGAAGGGCCUGCGGGGCGCCCCACGGAGACCGCGGUUCGGGUGGGGGUCUGGGGGACGUCCUAGUCCUCGAUGGUUUGUUCCACAGCCGUUUCGGGGGGCCUGCUGCGUUCAGACAACGCCGCGCGGGGGGCAAGGCCGGCCCUCCAGGCCCCCCAGGGGUCCGCUUGCGCUGGGGAGCCAGAGCCGCGGCGCGGAGGAGGAAGCAGCAGCUGCUGCCGAUCUCGGGGAGAGACGUACGGGGCCCGGGUUUGGCAGUGCGAACUAUUUUAAAUCCGGUGACAGGGAAACCUGCUCUCUGAGGAGGUGA
rnacentral:lncRNA from 13 species